UACGGAGGGAGCUAGCGUUGUUCGGAAUUACUGGGCGUAAAGGGCGCGUAGGCGGCGUGACAAGUCACUUGUGAAAUCUCCGGGCUUAACCCGGAGCGGCCAAGUGAUACUGUCGUGCUAGAGUGCGGAAGGGGCUACUGGAAUUCUCGGUGUAGCGGUGAAAUGCGUAGAUAUCGAGAGGAACACCUGCGGCGAAGGCGGGUAGCUGGGCCGACACUGACGCUGAGGCGCGAAAGCUAGGGGAGCGAACAGG
rnacentral:rRNA from 1 species